UACGGAGGGUGCAAGCGUUAUCCGGAUUCACUGGGUUUAAAGGGUGCGUAGGCGGGUAUUUAAGUCAGUGGUGAAAUCCUAGAGCUUAACUCUAGAACUGCCAUUGAUACUAUUUAUCUUGAAUAUUGUGGAGGUAAGCGGAAUAUGUCAUGUAGCGGUGAAAUGCUUAGAUAUGACAUAGAACACCUAUUGCGAAGGCAGCUUACUACGCAUAUAUUGACGCUGAGGCACGAAAGCGUGGGGGAUCAAACAGGAUUAGAUACCCUGGUAGUCCACGCCCUAAACGAUGGAUACUCGACAUACGCGAUACAUUGUGUGUGUCUGAGCGAAAGCAUUAAGUAUCCCACCUGGGAAGUACGACCGCAAGGUUGAAACUCAAAG
rnacentral:rRNA from 1 species